rnacentral:rRNA from 1 species
CCUACGAGAGUCAGCAGUGAGGAAUAUUGGUCAAUGGGCGCGCGCCUGAACCAGCCAAGUAGCGUGAAGGAUGACUGCCCUACGGGUUGUAAACUUCUUUUAUAAAGGAAUAAAGUGAGUCACGUGUGCCUUUUUUUAUGGACUUUAUGAAUAAGGAUCGGCUAACUCAGUGCCAGCAGCCGCGGUAAUACGGAGGAUCCGAGCGUUAUCCGGAUUUAUUGGGUUGAAAGGGCGCGUAGAUGGGUUGUUAAGUCAGUUGUGAAAGUUUGCGGCUCAACCGUAAAAUUGCAAUUUAUACUGGCAGUCUUGAGUACAGUUGAGGUAUGCGGAAUUCGUGGUGUAGCGGUGAAAUGCUUAGAUAUCACGAAGAACUCCGAUUGCGAAGGCAGCUUACUAAACUGCCACUGACAUUGAUGCUCGAAAGUGUGGGUAUCAAACAGGAUUAGAUACCCCUGUAGUA